GUCUCUCUCUGAGAUGUGCAUA
rnacentral:siRNA from 1 species